GGGGAAUCUUGCGCAAUGGACGAAAGUCUGACGCAGCGACGCCGCGUGGGUGACGAAGGCCUUCGGGUUGUAAAGCCCUGUGGGGCGAGACGAACAGCUUCUGGUCGAACAGGCCAGGGGUUUGACGGUAUCGCCUUAGCAAGCACCGGCUAACUCUGUGCCAGCAGCCGCGGUAAUACAGAGGGUGCAAACGUUGCUCGGAAUUACUGGGCGUAAAGCGCGUGUAGGCGGUUUUAUAAGUCCGACGUGAAAGCCCAGGGCUCAACCCUGGAAGUGCGUUGGAUACUGUGAAGCUGGAGUCCUGAAGAGGAGAGCGGAAUUCCCGGUGUAGAGGUGAAAUUCGUAGAUAUCGGGAGGAACACCUGUGGCGAAGGCGGCUCUCUGGGCAGGUACUGACGCUGAGACGCGAAAGCGUGGGGAGCAAAC
rnacentral:rRNA from 1 species